rnacentral:tRNA from 1 species
GCCUGGGUAGCCCAAUCUCGGUAGAGGCUGCCGGCUCAGACCCGGUACGUUGGGGGUUCGAGUCCCUCCCCAGGCACCA